UGUCCACCGUCCUGUUGUGGCCCCAGAGGACAGCGCCCUCCAGACCCAGUGCUCGGAAACUGACUUAGCCACACAGGACACACGCUGACACAUCGUGUCCUUGCUUCUCGAUGGCAGUUGGGCACAGGCGGGCUCUACAGGGUUGGCAACAAACAACGGGGCUUCCCAAAGUUUAGCACACCAGGGCCCCCCGGAGUGCUGGUCAAGCACACAGAGUCCCGCUCACCCACCCGCGGGGUUCCUAAAUCUCUAAGAGGCACCAGGCAUUGGGUCUGUUUAGUCUGUUGCGAGUCAGACGCAGAGGCCAGUGGCCCCAAAUUGAGAACCACUCGGGAGGUUAAGAGGAUUCUAAAGAGGUUUCGGUUUCAUUUCCCAGAAAACUCCUCCCCUGACAUUAGUUUCUGCCUGUGGCUGUAAAUAGCUGUGCCAGGAUCGAACUAGUCCGUGUGUCGACCCGCGCAGUCCUUCACCUUCAGCUCUGGCCCACAGC